GUGAGGAAUAUUGCGCAAUGGGGGAAACCCUGACGCAGCGACGCCGCGUGGGUGAAGAAGGCCUUCGGGUUGUAAAGCCCUGUCAGGUGGGAAGAAGUGCAUCAUGGCUAAUAUCCAUGGUGUUUGACGGUACCACCAAAGGAAGCACCGGCUAACUCCGUGCCAGCAGCCGCGGUAAUACGGAGGGUGCAAGCGUUGUUCGGAUUUACUGGGCGUAAAGGGCGCGUAGGCGGCUUUAUAAGCCAGAUGUGAAAGCCCACGGCUUAACCGUGGAAGUGCAUCUGGAACUGUGAGGCUUGAGUAUGGGAGGGGAAAGUGGAAUUCCCGGUGUAGAGGUGAAAUUCGUAGAUAUCGGGAGGAAUACCGGUGGCGAAGGCGACUUUCUGGACCAAUACUGACGCUGAGGCGCGAAAGCGUGGGUAGCAAACAGGAUUAGAUACCCGGGUAGUCC
rnacentral:rRNA from 1 species